rnacentral:rRNA from 1 species
AUGGCGCCACCAAGCCCAGCCCCCGCCGCGGCGCUCUUCCUCGCCGCGCUCCUCGUCCUCUCCGCCUCCCCGGCGUCCGCGGCGAGGCCGCGCUCCUCCUCCAAGGUGGCAGCCGGGCCGCACGACAUCCCGGCCGUGUUCGCAUUCGGCGACUCCACGCUGGACCCGGGCAACAACAACCGGCUGUUCACGGUGGUGCGCGCCGACCACGCGCCCUACGGCCGCGCCUUCCCGGCCGGCGUGCCCCCCUCGGGCCGCUUCUCGGACGGCAAGCUCAUCACCGACUACAUCGUCGCCGCGCUCGGCAUCAAGGACCUGCUCCCGGCGUACCACGCCAGCGGGGUCACCCACGCCGACGCCACCACCGGGGCCAGCUUCGCGUCCGGCGGGUCCGGCCUCGACGACAUCACCGCGCACGCCGUCAUGGUCUCCACCUUCUCGUCCCAGAUCGCCGACUUCCAGCAGCUCCUCUCCCGCAUCGGCGAGCCCCAGGCCGCCGACAUCGCCGCCAAGUCCCUCUUCAUCCUCUCCGCCGGCACCAACGACGUGACAAUGAACUACUACGACCUGCCGUUCCGCGCCCUCCAGUACCCCACCAUCGACGCCUACCAUGACUACCUCAUCAGCUGCUACCAGUCCUACAUCCAGAGCCUGUACAAGCUGGGGGCGAGGAGGUUCAUCGUGGCGGGGAUGCCGCCGGUGGGGUGCCUGCCGAUGCAGAAGAGCCUGAGGGGGCAGCAGCCGCCGCUGGGGCACGGGUGCGUGGACCUGCAGAACGAGGAGGUGCAGCGGUACAACGCCAAGCUGCAGCAGGCGCUGGCGGCGCUGGAGGCGGCGAGCGCCGGCGCCAGCAUCUCGUACGUGGACACGUACGCGCCGCUCAUGGACAUGGUGGCGCAGCCCAACAAGUACGGGUUCACGCAGACGGGGCAGGGGUGCUGCGGCACGGGGCUGCUGGAGAUGGGGGCCAUGUGCACCGGCCUGCUGCCGCAGUGCAAGUCGCCGGCGCAGUACAUGUUCUUCGACGCCGUGCACCCCACGCAGGCCGCCUACAAGGCCGUUGCCGACCAGAUCAUCAAGACCCACAUCGCGCAGUUCAAAAACUAG